AACAGCAUCUAGCAGCUGAAUUAUGGAGAAACUCAUUGUUGUCAUUGCAGAGUGGCUGUGGGGGUUCAGCCUAGUCUGAAGGCUAAGCCAGAAAGAUCAGUGAUGGGAGCUUUGGAAUUUAUUUCACAGAGUUGAACUUUUUCAUCAACACUCAAGAUAUCAACAAAUUAUGUAUAGACUCUGUUAGGCCUUUGAUCUGUCAGGUCUCCAGUAUAUAUGGUUGGUUACACAGUGACAGUGCUUUUUUCACUAUGACUUAAUCUGUAAAGCUGUUAUCAUUGUCUCAACUCCAAUAUUGUACCAAGUCCAUACUGUGCAAUAAAAAUGUGUGUCUAAAUGCAAAA